UGCUAGCAGACAGAAGCAGUUUAUGGAGGAAGUAGUGGUGAGCACGGAUCAGGCAGGUGCUUGACAGAAGAGGACAUGCAGAGAGGAAAAAGAAGAUAUAGAAGUGACAUUGAAGGGAAAAGGUUGUCAGUAAGAGUUAUUUCAUGAUAGAAGAAAAUUCCAUUGGUGUAGACUCUACUAUCAAAUCUUCUUCUGUCCCAUUGCUAGGAGAAUAGAUGUACAACCACAGGACGGGCACCUGGAAAAUGCUACCACAGUGUGUUAAGGCAGUGAGUCAAAACUCAAGUCUGUGUGGCUCUGACAUAAUGGAUUUACCCACAGUAGGAGAGGUUGCAGUGUUCCAAUAACCAGCUCCCACACUUGGAUUCCAAGUCUUGGUCCCCACGUGAUCCACCAGCUCCUGACAGCAGAAGCAGCAUUCUUCUGCAGGAUGAAGCAGGAGCAGAAGAUGCUUUCCUCAGAUUGGAUGUUCCUUGGACUCAGACUCAGCUGGAACAGAGUUUCCUGAGCAAAGAGCUUACCUGGAGGCUGAAUGGUCCUUCUCACAUCAUGAAUUGCUUCAAGAAUUUUAUUUUCUACUUGGACAGAGGACAAUCCAGCCAUCAUUUAGAAUAAGUAUCAUGUGAUCUCCAGGACUAGGAUCGUUCCAUGGCCCCCUCUACAGCCAGCCAACAAUAGUGUUUCUUUGCAACAUCAUUUGAGGUGCAAAGCAAGCUCCAAAGGGGACGACGUGUGCUGCUUGGUCUCCAGGAUGGACUUGUCACACUGGCUUCCUGACAUGUAUCCGACUUCUUGUCCUUGGAGCAGCUCGGGGCCUCCAUGUUGCUGAGGAUGGAUGGGUGCUUUUCAGGACAGCUCUGGUCUUUGUUGUGAAUGUGACUUCUCGGCUCCAGUGUAGAACCCUCAACCCACCAGCACAGCUCCUUCACCCCGCUGGCAUAGACUUUCUGGCUUCUACCACUGAUCUUUGGGCCUUCCUGGCAUGGAUCCAUAAGAGAGACUGGCGUGAGUCCUUUUGGUGGGCUCUAGACCUCCAGGUGGACUCAUGGGAGGCACUGUAAUGAGCUCUGGGUCUUCAUCUAGACUCAUGCAGGACAUUGCUGUGGGAUUCCGACCCUUGGCUAAAUAUUCUGGCUUUAGUGUUGUGGAUAGAUUUCCUGCAGUUUCUUGUAUUAACUCUGGGUGACCACCAUAAAUAAUAUUGUAAACUCCAUGUCCUGAUUCUAAUUGUUCUCCUCACAGCCCCUGAUUACAACACCUCCCCAUUUUAAAUAUGUUUAUCCCAUUGUUCUUGUAACUUUCUGAGGCAGUUCUGGAAAUCCUCUUUCAUGAGUGUCUUCACUUUUGCUGUCAUGGUUUACCUUUCAUGGUCAUUUUGACUCUGAGAAAAACCCAGAGCUUGCAGUAGCCAACCCAGUGAAUUAGGUGAAUGAAAAUGCACCAUACUAUUGUUAAGAGCUGUCUUUCUGUUGAGUGUCACACAGCAACAGCAUUUACUGUAUUUUUUAAUCACACCUCACAAAGGCUUUCAUAAAAAUAGACUUCCCAAACUUCUUCAGAAGAUGGCAAAGACACAUUAGGAUAAGUUGUGAGAGGUGGUGUUUUGAGGGGUACUAGU